CGUAGGGCGCAAGCGUUGUCCGGAAUUAUUGGGCGUAAAGAGCUCGUAGGCGGCUUGUCACGUCGGAUGUGAAAGCCCGGGGCUUAACCCCGGGUCUGCAUUCGAUACGGGCUAGCUAGAGUGUGGUAGGGGAGAUCGGAAUUCCUGGUGUAGCGGUGAAAUGCGCAGAUAUCAGGAGGAACACCGGUGGCGAAGGCGGAUCUCUGGGCCAUUACUGACGCUGAGGAGCGAAAGCGUGGGGAGCGAACAGGAUUAGAUACCCUGGUAGUCCACGCCGUAAACGUUGGGAACUAGGUGUUGGCGACAUUCCACGUCGUCGGUGCCGCAGCUAACGCAUUAAGUUCCCCGCCUGGGGAGUACGGCCGCAAGGCUA
rnacentral:rRNA from 1 species